ACUGACAGCCAUGGUUACCGCGGCUGCUGGCACGGAGUUAGCCGGUGCUUCUUCUGCGAGUAACGUCACAGAUGUAAGGUAUUAACUUACACCCUUUCCUCCUCGCUGAAGUGCUUUACAACCCGAAGGCCUUCUUCACACACGCGGCAUGGCUGCAUCAGGGUUUUCCCCCAUUGUGCAAUAUUCCCCACUGCUGCCUCCCGUAGGAGUCUGGGCCGUGUCUCAGUCCCAGUGUGGCUGAUCAUCCUCUCAGACCAGCUAGGGAUCGUCGCCUAGGUGAGCCUUUACCUCACCUACUAGCUAAUCCCACCUGGGCUUAUCCAUCAGCGCAAGGCCCGAAGGUCCCCUGCUUUCCCCCGUAGGGCGUAUGCGGUAUUAGCAGUCGUUUCCAACUGUUAUCCCCCACAAAUGGGCAAAUUCCCAGGCAUUACUCACCCGUCCGCCGCUCGUCAUCUUCAAAAGCAAGCUUUUGAAAUGUUACCGCUCGACUUGCAUGUGUUGGCCUGCCGCCAGCGUUCAAUC
rnacentral:rRNA from 1 species